UGUUUUCGCAUUGUAGAAGAAAACCCACUGCUCUUACCUCUCUUGCUUUCAAAUUUAUUUUGAAUCUCUGCGAUUUCGCUCUCAAAUUUGGCUCGGCUUCCUUGUUGCUCCGGCGCUCCCUCCGUGGCGUUGUUGCUCCUCCGGCGAUCUUUCGCUCUCUGCUCAGUGCCAUACCGUCGAGAAAGGCGCCAGCCACAAGCAAGGUUUGAAGGGAUGAUGACUCCGAGCCAAGGGCAAGCGGCAUUGCUGACAUUCUGCUCCUGCAUUAGCCUCACUAGCGUUGGCCUUGUUCUUACAAACUGUUCCGGACAUUGGUAACAACUGGUUUUGGAUCAUUGCAUUGAGGCCCUUAGCUGGAGCACACUAUUGGAUGCGGGCAUCGUGGAAGGAGCAAAUUAUGGUAAAGAUGAUAGUGGCGGAAGACGGACGCUAUCGGAGAUCGUUGAGCAGACGAGGAAGGAGCUUUAGCUCAGUGAGAAAGGAAUGGUUUAUGUAAAGGGCAUAUUUGAGAGAUGACCAACACCCCAACACUUUUGAUGGGGUGGUCAUCCAACACUCGAAGCAAUACUUACUGCAGGGGCAUGCUAUUACUAGGAAGCUUAAUUCUGAUGGUAAGGUGGAUAUAAUGCAGACUCUGCACAACCUAAAUGAAGAUGAGCUGCCUCAAUUUGAACAAGCUUGGAAGAAAAAUGCUAGAAAGCAUUUGCCUGGUUGGAGCGAGCAUUUUGAUGGCCAUGUUGGACGGGCCACAGUCAAGCAUCGCCUUUGGCGGACAAGGAUCAUGAAGAGAGGGCAAAAAGAUGUGAAUUUGUGUGAGCUAUAAUGAUCCACCGUCAUCGACAAUAAUUUAUGAGUAGGUGCAGAAUGGCGGGUGAUCUGGAGCUUACGUGACCGAGAAUCCGCCCCUACAAUCUUUAUGGUUGGCCUGGGGUGAAUGUGUUGUUUGCUGAUGUAUUAAAAUAGGAAGCAAGGGAAUAAGGUUUAUAAGCUAAAAUGUAAUUCUUUGCUUGUCGACUUCGGUUUUGACCUGAGGAAACAAUGCUGUGCAUAGCUCCUGUGUGAUGCUUGGACCUCUCAAAAGUAACGAUAUUGAAGAACUUUUCUUUA